UAGAAUUGUUCUAUUGGGAUGAUGGAACCACAGGAUGAAAGAAGUCUGAAUACUGGAAGUACCAAAGAAAGCUGCACUGCAGAGUUGCUUGACCAGCAGUGGACUUGUGUAACUCCACAUCAGGUCUCUUCCAGAGAGCUCCACAUCUGGCCCAUGAAAUGCCGCAUCCUUUGCCCAGCACUCUGUUGACACUACUGCAUUAGCCAGCCUUUUCUAGAUUUCUCAGUGAGGAAGCCAGCUACCAUCCCUACAGGACACUCAAGUAACCCCACGGAGAGGACAUUGCAGAGAAGAACUUGUCGAAAGCCAGUACUCACUCUGCCAUCUAUGUGAAUAAUCCACCUUUGAGUGGAUCUUCCAGCCCACAUCAAGCCUUCAUAUAACAGCAGUCCUGGAGGACAUUUGAUUGCAACCUUGUGAAAACCCAGGAGUCUGAGAAUAUCUGUUGACCAGAGAUAAACUAUCAGGAGGCUUUGAAGUGCUGUAAAUGCUUUACCUAUUUGAGGUUUCAUUAUUAUUUUGUCUUUUACAUUUAGUCAUUUUCUGGAA